AGGGUUUGAUCCUGGCUCAGAACGAACGCUGGCGGCGUGGCUAAGACAUGCAAGUCGAACGGUCUAUGCAAUUGAGUAAUCGAGCGUAUAGAUAGUGGCGAAAGGGUUAGUAAUGGCUAGGUAACGUACCCCAUGCUCUGGGAUAGCUAUUCGAAAGGGUAGGUAAUACCAGAUGAUAUCACAGAUCUAUAGUUUUGUGAUCAAAGAUUUAUCGGCAUGGGAGCGGCCUAGUUCCUAUCAGCUAGUUGGUGUGGUAACGGCUCACCAAGGCAACGACGGGUAGCGGGACUGAGAGGUUGGCCCGCAACAUCGGAACUGAGACACUGUCCGGACCUCCACGGAGGGCUGCAGUAACGAAUAUUGCGCAAUGGGCGAAAGCCUGACGCAGCGACGCCGCGUGUAGGAUGAAGUUCCUCGGGAUGUAAACUACUUUUCGGGUUAAGAAAGUCUUCGGAUUGAUCGAUCCCGGAAUAAGUCACGGCUAACUUCGUGCCAGCAGACGCGGUAAGACGAAGGUGGCGAGCGUUGUUCGGUAUUACUGGGCUUAAAGCGUGUGUAGGCGGAAAUGUAAGCGUCUUGUGAAAUCCCUCGGCUUAACCGAGGAAUUGCUUGGCGAACUGCAUUUCUUGAGGCAAGUAGGGGUACACGGAACUCUUGGUGGAGCGGUGGAAUGCGUAGAUAUCAAGAGGAACGCCGGUGGAGAAGUCGGUGUACUGGGCUUGUCCUGACGCUGAGACACGAAAGCGUGGGGAGCAAACAGGAUUAGAUACCCUGGUAGUCCACGCUGUAAACGAUGUCAACUAGGUCGUGCGGGUUCUGACGCUGGCACGGCCGAAGCAAAAGUGUUAAGUUGACCGCCUGGGGAGUACGGUCGCAAGGCUAAAACUCAAAGGAAUUGACGGGGGCUCACACAAGCGGUGGAGCAUGUGGAUUAAUUCGAAUCAACGCGCAGAACCUUACCUGGGUUUGACAUGCUUGGAUGCCCUCCGGGAAACCGGAGUAAGCUGCCCUUCGGGGUGAAACUUGCACAGGUGCUGCAUGGCUGUCGUCAGCUCGUGUCGUGAGAUGUUGGGUUAAGUCCUUUAACGAGCGAAACCCUUACCGUUAGUUGCCAGCGAGUCAAGUCGGGGACUCUAACGGGACUGCCGGUGUUAAACCGGAGGAAGGUGGGGAUGACGUCAAGUCCUCAUGGCCUUUAUGCCCAGGGCUUCACACGUGCUACAAUGGUUCGGACAGAGCGACGCAAGCCUGCGAAGGUGAGCCAAUCCCAAAAAGUCGUUCUUAGUUCGGAUUGGAGUCUGCAACUCGACUCCAUGAAGCUGGAAUCGCUAGUAAUCGCGGAUCAGCACGCCGCGGUGAAUACGUUCCCGGGCCUUGUACACACCGCCCGUCACACCAUGAGAGUUGGUUGUACCAGAAGUUGUU
rnacentral:rRNA from 1 species